CUUGAUUUUGUGUACAUGUUUAAUUCCAGUGUGUUCAAUAAACAUGUGUUCGCUCCCAGCUGCGUUUUGGUCCGCUUCCUCGUCACCAGGCGACGAUCGUUACAGAACAACCCACCGAACCAGGACCAAGCAGCGGGAGGAAAAGGAGCGCGAGAGAUGGGUUCGCGAGGGAAAGGAGUUCUGGACCUGGGAGGAGAUCAUGUCGGGGAAAGGACCCUGGCGGAGGGAUUCCCAGGUCGAGGAGGUGAUGCCAGCCGGUGGAAGGAAUCGCAGGCGGCGGUCGAGGAGGCCCGGAAGACACCCCCAAGAAAAUUUUGGGGGCUAAUGGGGUGGUCCGGAAGGGGAGACGAAGAGCCCAGACCACUGCUCUCGUGGGGGAUAACGGCGAAGGAGGAGGCAGAGAUGUGGCAGGUCCUGGAGGACCUGCGUAGGGACAGCGUGGAGGAAGAGCCUUGGGUGGCAGAGGUGCGCACGGUAUCGCCAGUGCGCCUGCACAGCCCAGUGCGCUCUGUGCCAGCGCCCCGCAUUUGCCGGGCUAGGGGGAGUGUUCAGCGAGGACGUGUUGUGCCGGCUCAGCGCUCCUGGCCUCCGGUGCCCCUUCUCGGUCCGAUGUAUCCUGCGCCGAGGACGCGCACUGUGUCUCCGGUACGGCUGCACAGCCCAGUGCGUUCUGUGCCAGCGCUCCACACUUGCCAGGCUAAGGUGGGCGUUGAGCCAGAACGGGUGAUGUCAGCUGUGCACUCCAGACCUCCAGUGCGCCUCCUCGGUCCAGGAUAUCCGGCGCCGCUAAUGCGCACUGUGUCGCCGGAGUGCGGUCACGGUCCAGCACGUCCUGUGCCAGCACCUCGCCCUUGCCGGGCGAAUGUGGUGCGUGUCCCCAGUCCUGUCCGGCCCGUCCCUGCUCCCCGCACCAGGUUAGUGGUGCGUGUCCCCAGUCCUGUCCGGCCCAUCCCUGCUCCCCGCACCAAGCCAGUGGUGCGUGUCCCCAGUCCUGUCCGGCCCAUCCCUGUUCGCCGCACCAAGAAUGUGGUGCGUGUCCACAGUCCAGUCUGGCC
rnacentral:lncRNA from 1 species